UUUUUCUUUAUUUUUGAAUCAAGUACUUAACUCAAAAAGAAGAAAUUUCAAAGUUAAAGAUAUUAGGCACAUUCAGUAAAUGAUUUCAUGAAUGACCUAAAAUCUGAAUUUGCUAAACUAUUACAUCUCAUGGUUUGCUGUCUUUUUCCGUUUCAAAUAUUAAACACAAAUCAAAAUCGAGGUAAGAUUCAGUUUCCUAAUCUUUGCAAUCAUGGUGUUACCAUUAUUUAUUUAAAUCUAUUUAAAGAAUAUGCAAGACAAGAGAGGCGAAAACAAGGCUGAACUCUUUAGAAAUCACUGUCAACUGAAUGCAUUAGAGUCGAUGGCCAACCACAUAACUGAGGUCUCCAAAUCAACUUCAAUGUAGAAUAAAAUGCUUAUUAAAGGUAAGUAAUAGGAGUUCCCGUCGUGGCGCACCACGACGGGAACCCCCGCCCCAAUUUUUCUUAAUGAGGAUGGAUGACUUCCCUUCUAUCCAAUAGUUCUCAUGAAAAAGUGGUUUAGAAAGUCCUUCUUUCAAGAAGACUUCUUGGUCCUCAGAUUUUGACCACAAGACAGUUCUGACUGUCCUCAGAUACCAAUGCUGAAUUUAUAUGUCAACCCUCAUAAUCUUGGUCUCUAAAGUCAUAUGUGCUGCAAAUAGAUGUAUUGUUUUCGACUGUGAACAAAUAAUUACUUAAAUUGAUCUCCAUUAGGUGUUGCAAGGAAUUCAUUAAAUGACCACAAUAAUGAGGCCCAUGUAAGAUGCUGUUAUGAGAAAUGAUUUUUAUUAUCCUGUAUUUAGCAGUAAGGAGAUUUUAAUUCCAACUCUUCUCUCAACACUUCCUAUAUUUUUCACACGUGUCAGAAUAAGGAUCCCCUUUUUUGGAGUAUAAAGAAAUAUUCUUUUCAGAACCUAUAUAACCACUUGAUAUUUACCUUACCAGCUUCUUCUAGUGCUUUUUCUUCUAGUGCCUUCCUUCUGCCCUUUGAAUGUGCCAUAACCUUCCUGAUGGAAGGUCUGGCAGCCAGUUUCUCUGAUUGAUUCUUUAUAAUUUACAUCAGGGCUCAGAUGACCAUUGUCUCAGAGUCUCUGACAUCUUGAAAGCAUCUGUUCUUCUCUUUAUAUGUUCACCUGGUGACCUUCAUAGAAUUGAAAAUAUCUGAAUAAGCACUCCAGUGAUUAAUUUGAUAAUAUAACUUUUCCUGUUGGAAUGUAAACGCCAUGAGGUCUGUGGUCUUAUCCACAGCUGCAAUGGCAGCACCUAGCAUACAGGAGGUUCAAUAAAUGGGGUUACAAUAUGACUGACAGAGUGAAUUCCUUGAAGAUAGUGAUAAUUUACUAACCACCUGGAGGAUGACACUGGAUUCUCUGAUGAUUACAUUCUGGGAGUGUUGACACAAUUUGUAAAAACUAAACUAUACAAUUUCCAAUUCUGUUUCAGUGUAACAAUAUCCUCUUCAACUUCUCUAAUAGUGAACUUACUUUCAAAUCCAGGGUUAAAGAAAUAACGUAUUGGACAAAAUCAUGACUCCUUAUUAAUGAUUCCUUAAUUUUUCCUCUACGUUGCAGUGGAUAGAUUAUACAAUGAAGGAUCUUUUCAAUGAAGCUGAAGUUUGCCUUGCAUAAUAAGUCCUUUAGUGAAGAUAAAAUUUAGUCAUCAGACAUAUUCAGAAGCAUUGAACCAAAUCUCUAUGGAAAUGGGAUUUCUUCGGGGCAAAAUAUUUAUACAUGACAU
rnacentral:lncRNA from 1 species